UAACUGGUCUGAGAGGAUGAUCAGUCACACUGGAACUUGAGACACGGUCCAGACUCCUACUGGAGGCAGCAGUGGGAAUAUUGGACAAUGGGCGAAAGCCUGAUCCAGUCAUGCCGCGUGUGUGAAGAAGGUCUUCGGAUUGUAAAGCACUUUAAGUUGGGAGGAAGGGUACUUACCUAAUACGUGAGUAUUUUGACGUUACCGACAGAAUAAGCACCGGCUAACUCUGUGCCAGCAGCCGCGGUAAUACAGAGGGUGCAAGCGUUAAUCGGAAUUACUGGGCGUAAAGCGCGCGUAGGUGGUUUGUUAAGUUGGAUGUGAAAGCCCCGGGCUCAACCUGGGAACUGCAUCCAAAACUGGCAAGCUAGAGUAUGGUAGAGGGUGGUGGAAUUUCCUGUGUAGCGGUGAAAUGCGUAGAUAUAGGAAGGAACACCAG
rnacentral:rRNA from 1 species